CAGUAGCCACGGUAAUACAGAGGGUGCAAGCGUUAAUCGGAAUUACUGGGCGUAAAGCGCGCGUAGGUGGUUUGUUAAGUUGGAUGUGAAAUCCCCGGGCUCAACCUGGGAACUGCAUCCAAAACUGGCAAGCUAGAGUAUGGUAGAGGGUGGUGGAAUUUCCUGUGUAGCGGUGAAAUGCGUAGAUAUAGGAAGGAACACCAGUGGCGAAGGCGACCACCUGGACUGAUACUGACACUGAGGUGCGAAAGCGUGGGGAGCAAACAGGAUUAGAUACCCCGGUAGUCCCUGUCUCUUAUAC
rnacentral:rRNA from 1 species